ensembl:lncRNA
CUUUCUUUUUUUUUGCUACAAUAUCCAGGAAGCUUGAGCACUUAACUUCCUCAUUUAUUUUUGUCCCUUUUCCCAUAUGGCAAACAUUGUUUCCCCCACAUGUUUCUAAUGAAGAUAGGAUAUAUCACUUCCUCAUUUGUUUAUGAAGCCUCUUCAUAGCAACAGUAUGGUUCUGGAAGUAGUAUUUGAUGAUAAGAAAAAAAAAAAAAACAUCUGCAAUGCAUCCUUACUUCAUGAGCCCAUGAAACAGAAUAGUUUGUGUGUCUCACUAAUGAAGGUAUUCUUCUGUAAUGAGCACACUUAAGAAUUUGGGUGUUACGCUUUCCUCAGCAGACUUUAAGAAUAAUCACUGGAUGGUCUAUGCAUUGAUUCUGCUCUAGCUUAUCACCCUCACUGCUAUGAGUAGCAGCACGGAAGGCAGGGAGGUGCGCAGUCUGACAGCCCACUGCAACUCUUUGUAACGACUUGCUUUAUGGAGAAGUCACAAG